GUUCCUUUGGAUGCAAGGUAUCUGAAUAUGUAAAGUUCUAUUCUAGUUUUCUCUUGGUAUUAGUGACAAUAAUUUUAUCUUUUGAAUGUCCAAUGAUUUACAAAUUUGAUAAAGAGGUAAUCAUUCACAAAGAAAAGGAUUGAGGGGAGAAUUGCAUUAUGCGAGUGAAUAUUUGUUAUACUUGUUUAUACCAUAUUUAGGGCCUCGUAUUUAGACCUCGUAUAAAUACUCGAGGGACUUAAAUGUAAUUAUGUAAUAAAGGAAAGGGCAAAUAUGUAAUAAGUGAGGAGUCCUUAUUCUAUAAAAGGACCCCUCACCCUCACAAUUAGGGGAGGCCAAUUCCUAAGGCUCCUCACCCCCUCUCAACGCUCUCACUCUCAGAGCUCUCUCUCCCUCAGAUAAAUACAUAAUCAGUGUGGACGUAGCCCAAACCUUGGGGUGAACCACGAUAUAUUUUGUGUUAUUUACAUUACUUGCAUAUUCACGGUCGGGUUUACGUUGUUCCAAGACCUCCGGUUUUGUGCAUCAACAUUUGGCGCCGUCUGUGGGAAUCGACACGAAAAGUUAUGUCGGUUUUCUCUCAAUUUUUCACCUCCGCCGUGAAUCUGCAAAAUCACAAAAACCCAAGAAACCAAAUCUCUCUCUUUCUCCUCUCUCGGUCAGUUAUACACUCAGUCAGUCAUACACAGAAACCAAAACAAAAAGAAAACCUCAAAAAAUCUCUCUAACUCUCUCAAUUAGUCCUCCAAACGGCAAUAGAGUACGCCCAGAAGCUUAACACUCUCAAAAAGUCUCUCAAACUAUCUCUGAGCUUCUGUAGUCCACGCAUGGCUCCGGGGCAUAGACGCGGAGCGAGCAAGGCCAAGGAUAAGAGCAAGUUGAGUCUCGGCGAUCUUGUCCUUGCUAAGGUCAAGGGCUUCCCCUAUUGGCCCGCCAAGAUUAGUAGGCCUGAAGAUUGGAAGAAGGUCCCUGAUCUAAAGAAAUAUUUUGUCCAAUUUUUUGGAACGGAAGAGAUCACCUCGAGACCAAGUCAGGGACGUUGUGGGUCGCCGACGUCAAGGACCCGACGUCGGCUCCGGUGGUGAUGUUCGAGAAGCCGUUGCUGAACUUGACGUUUAAGGACUUGAUUGCUGCAACGUCGCACUUUGGCAAGGACUCCCAGCUCGCCGAGGGAUGCUCAUGUUGGUGAAGCCAGAUUCUCCGAUCUGGAAACAUCUCUUCUGGUUUUCUCCUUAAAUUAUUUUCUAGGGUUGCAGGGUUCUCUGGUCUGCCCCUUUCUCGAGGGACUCAAAAUUUUCUUGCUGGUACUUGAGAUUUCCCGGGAAAUCGGCUUCUGGGGUUUUCCGGAAUUCGAUUUUCGUGUUCGGAAAGGUGAGAAAAUGGUGAGGGGGAAGACUCAGAUGAAGUGCAUCGAAAAUACAGCGAGCCGGCAAGUGAUUUUUUCCAAGAGAAGGAGUGGGCUGCUGAAGAAAGCCUUUGAGCUUUCAAUCCUGUGUGAUGCUGAAGUUGCACUUGUGAUCUUCUCCGCAAGAGGGAAGCUCUAUGAGUUUUCGAAGAUAUAGUGGUUGCAGACAGAAAGCAAUGCCUGUUCAACUUUGUUCCUGCCCUCAGUGAGAAGUCUGCAGAUUUGUCCCUGAAAUAUGAAGCAUCACCAUCGUGGCCAACUUGCAGAUUCAAGGGUGCACAUGCAUGACAGCUCAGAGACAGAAAGAGAGGAAAGUGAAGAGAAGAAGGCAAAAGCGGAGAUAAGAUUAUUUUCUUACUAUUAAAACUAUUAUCAUUUCUUGUCUGCCAUAUUUAUCAGGGUCAAGAAACAGAAAGAAAAUUAGAAACAAAAGCAGAAAAGAAAAGCAAAAACAAAAGCAAAAGAGAAAGCAAAAACAAGGAAUAAACACCCCACCAGAAUGAUGUGAUUUACUUUUCUUAUUUUUGACUGAUGUAAUUUAUUUUCCGUAUCUUUCGGAGAUAUCUGUAUAAACCCCCAUCAGAGGGUACAACAACAACAACAACAACAACAACAACAAAGCCUUUUCCCACUAAGUGGGGUCGGCUAUAUGAAUCCUAGAACGCCAUUGCGCUCGGUUUUGUGUCAUGUCCUCCGUUAGAUCCAAGUACUCUAAGUCUUUUCUUAGAAUCUCUUCCAAAGUUUUCCUAGGUCUUCCUCUACCCCUUCGGCCCUGAACCUCUGUCCCGUAGUCACAUCUUCGAACCGGAGCGUCAGUCGGCCUUCUUUGCACAUGUCCAAAUCAUCGGAGCCGAUUUUCUCUCAUCUUUCCUACAAUUUCGGCUACUCCUACUUUACCUCGGAUAUCCUCAUUCCCAAUCUUAUCCUUUCUCGUGUGCCCACACAUCCCACGAAGCAUCCUCAUCUCCGCUACACCCAUUUUGUGUACGUGUUGAUGCUUCACCACCCAACAUUCUGUGCCAUACAACAUCGCUGGCCUUAUUGCCGUCCUAUAAAAUUUUCCCUUGAGCUUCAGUGGCCUACGACGGUCACACAACACGCCGGAUGCACUCUUUCCAUCCAGCUCGUAUUCUAUGGUUGAGAUCUCCAUCUAAUUCUCCGUUCUCUUGCAAGAUAGAUCCUAGGUAGCGAAAACGGUCGUUUUUUGUGACCUUCGCUAGAUUGCUCCGGUCAUUAGUGUGGAUAAGUAUAUAAAUGGAUAGAGAUAGGAAAGCAAACACAAGAUGUACGUGGUUCACCCAGAUUGGCUACGUCCACGGAAUAGAAGAGUUCUCAGUAAUUGUGAAGGGUUUACACAAGUACAUAGGUUCAAGCUCUCCUUUAGUGAGUACAAGUGAAUGAUUUAGUACAAAUGACAUUAGGAAAUAUUGUGGGAGAAUGAUCUCGUAAUCACGAAACUUCUAAGUAUCGGAGUGUGGUGUCGUCUUGACUUGCCUUAUCUGUCUCAUAGGUAGAUGUGGCAUCUUCUCUGGAAGUACUCUUCCUCCAUCCAGGGGUGGUAUCUUUAACUGGUGGAGAUGCACAAGGUAAUGUAUCAAUUUCACUUGAAGCUUACUUGUAGUUUCAGGCUUGGUCAAGCGCGAUACAAACCAUGUAGUAGGAGUCCCCCAAGUCGCCGAGCUAGGGGGUCUGCUGAAAGAGGUGACAGACAAGGUAAGCAAUCAGAGCUCCGACUGAUUGUUCACCUUCUCCCCAUCUUGCAGCAGCAUGAAGGAUAAAGAGAAGAAAAAUGAGAAGAGAUGAUAUGAGAUACUUUUGCUUUUGAAGAAGUAACUUUCCACAGGCUUAUUCUUGAACUGAGCUGGAGGGUUUUCUGGUUUCCUCCAGAGUAUAAGGCCGACUGAAGAAUUUGAGGGUCAAAACAAGUCCAUCAAAUCUAGAGUACGUUCCACCCUGCUGAUAUGGGAUACUUUUGCUUUUGACAGAGUAAUGGAUGUAUCGGCACGUGUGCUGUUACGCUUGUCUCCACAUGCUUCCUUGUAUCCUUCGCACUUGCCCUAUAUGUUCCUCAAGCAGAUGCGGAAUCUUCCCUAGAAACAUAAGAUGUUGAAGAUGAGUACUCGAGAGCAAUGCCAGGUAAGUAAUCAGGUAAGGGGUUCCAGGCAGUCAGUUCCUGGCUGGAAGCUUGAUUCCAAGUGCUGACUGAUUGCUCUCUUUCUCCUUGUCUUGCAGGUAAAAACAAGGCCAAAAGAAAAGACAGGGAAAAAGCAUGAUAUGGGAUACUCUUGCUUUUAACCCUGAUGAUAUGAGAUAUUCUUGCUCUAGUAUAGCUUGUUUGCAGAUGUAUUAUCGGGGGGAAAGAAAGCUGAAUAUUUCGAAAGGCUUCGUUGGGAGUGCCCUCUCAGAUAUGAUGAAGGGUUGAGCAUUUUUGCAGGUCUGCCUGUCCGUUGGGGAUGGAGGUCGACAUAUAUAGGAGUCUCCCUAACAACAAGUAGUAAUGCUAUUCCUUUACCCUGCUUGGUCAUAGCACGGUAGUGGGAGCUGCCAGUUUCACAUGUUUUAACUCUGUCAGAGCACUUUGAAAAAGUGGUCUGUGGUAUCUGGCUCUCGAGAUUCGGAGAACGAUGCCUCUUCGAUUUUUGAGAAAGCAAUCAUGCUGGGGGUCUGACUCUCGAGAUUCGGAGAGCAGUGUCUCUUCGAUUUUUUAGAAAGUAAUCAUGUUGGGAGUCUGGCUCUCGAGAUUCGGAGGGCGGUGCCUCUUCGAUUUUGGAGCAAGCAAUCUUGUUGGGAGUGUUGUCUCGAAUGUGAGUAAAGGUUGGGCAUGUUUGCUAGUCUACCUUGCCACGAAGCACAAAGGUUGACACACAGGGACUUUCCAAUUAUCCAGCAAUGGUACUAUUCCUUUACCCUCUCUUCGAUUUUGAGAAAGUAGUCAUGUUGGGAGUCUGGCUCUCGAGAUUCGGAGGACGGUGCCUCUUCGAUUUUGGAGCAAGCAAUCUUGUUGGGAGUGUUUUCUCGAAUGUGAGUAAAGGUUGGGCAUGUUUGCUAGUCUACCUUGCCACGAAGCACAGAGGUUGACACACAGGGACUUUCCAAUUAUCCAGCAGUGGUACUGUUCCUUUACCUUGUGGGUAAUAAUAUGGUAGCUAGACCUUCAAAAUUUAUGUGUCUAAACUUUGUUAGUGCUGUUUCUUUGCUAUUCUUUUACCUUUCUUGGUCAGAGCGAUGUAGUGGGAGCUGCAAGCUUCACGUGCUCAACUUUGGCAGAGAACUUUGGCAAAGUUAUCUGUGGUACCCAUGAGCUAUUGUUGCGUGUGGGAAGUGGGUGAUUGAACAGUAAGAUUCAUGUGCUUUCUACUUCACCAGAAGUCUUCGACAGAAUGCCCAUAAUUUCUGCAAAGCUGAGUGUGCGUGUGACAGGUGCUGACAAGGCUAGAAAAGUAGGUGCCUCUUCGAUUUCUGAGAUCGGCCCUUGUGGUCUCUGAGCAGCCCAGCUUUUGAGAAAGCGAGCGCCUCUUCGAUUGAUUCGGAGAACGAUGCCUCAUCGAUUUUUGAGAAAGCAAUCAUGCUGGGGGUCUGGCUCUCGAGAUUCGGAGAGCAGUGUCUCUUCGAUUUUUUAGAAAGUAAUCAUGUUGGGAGUCUGGCUCUCGAGAUUCGGAGGGCGGUGCCUCUUCGAUUUUGGAGCAAGCAAUCUUGUUGGGAGUGUUUUCUCGAAUGUGAGUAAAGGUUGGGCAUGUUUGCUAGUCUACCUUGCCACGAAGCACAGAGGUUGACACACAGGGACUUUCCAAUUAUCCAGCAAUGGUACUGUUCCUUUACCCUCUCUUCGAUUUUUAAGAAAGUAGUCAUGUUGGGAGUCUGGCUCUUGAGAUUCGGAGGACGGUGCCUUUUCGAUUUUGGAGCAAGCAAUCUUAUUGGGAGUGUUUUCUCGAAUGUGAGUAAAGGUUGGGCAUGUUUGCUAGUCUACCUUGCCACGAAGCACAGAGGUUGACACACAGGGACUUUCCAAUUAUCCAGCAGUGGUACUGUUCCUUUACCCUUGUGGGUAAUAAUAUGGUAGCUAGACCUUCAAAAUUUAUGGGUCUAAACUUUGUUAGUGCUGUUUCUUUGCUAUUCUUUUACCCUUCUUGGUCAGAGCGAUGUAGUGGGAGCUGCCAGCUUCACGUGCUCAACUUUGGCAGAGAACUUUGGCAAAGUUAUCUGUGGUACCCAUGAGCUAUUGUUGCGUGUGGGAAGUGGGUGAUUGAACAGUAAGAUUCAUGUGUUUUCUACUUCCCCAGAAGUCUUAGACAGAAUGCCCAUAAUUUCCGCAAAGCUGAGUGUGCGUGUGACAGGUGCUGACAAGGCUAGAAAAGUAGGUGCCUAUUCGAUUUCUGAGAUCGGCCCUCGUGGUCUCUGGGGAGCCCAGCUUUUGAGAAAGCGAGCGCCUCUUCGAUUUCUGAGAUCGGCCUUCGUGGCCUUUGAGCAGCCCAACUUUUGAGAAAGCAAACGCCUCUUCGAUUUCUGAGAUCAACCCUCGUGAUCUCUAAGCAGCCUAGCUUUUGAGAAAGCAAACGCCUCUUCGAUUUCUGAGCAGGCGCCUCUUCGAUUUCUGAAGCUCCGUCGAGUGCAGAUUUUUAUAGGGGCUGGCAUUAAGUUCCAAAGCACACUUGAAUCUCCACCAGUAGAAGCUUCAUUCUUGCACUUCUAAGAUCUUGAUUUGUCCGACCUCUUCUCUCUUCAACACCUUUGAAAAUGUCUGGCCCCUCCGACCGUCGUUUUGACUUGAACCUUGUUGAAGAGGCAGCCCCGCCUUCUCCAGACAACAUAUGGCGCCCAUCCUUCGUCUCCCCUACUGGUCCUCUUACCGUUGGGGAUUCCGUGAUGAAGAAUGAUAUGACCGCUGCGGUGGUGGCCAGGAACCUUCUCACUCCCAAAGAUAACAGACUACUUUCCAAACGGUCUGAUGAGUUAGCUGUUAAGGAUUCGCUGGCUCUCAGUGUUCAGUGUGCAGGUUCUGUGUCUAAUAUGGCCCAACGCCUAUUUGCUCGAACCCGCCAAGUUGAAUCAUUGGCGGCUGAAGUGAUGAGUCUCAAACAGGAGAUUAGAGGGCUCAAGCAUGAGAAUAAACAGUUGCACCGGCUCGCACAUGACUAUGCUACAAACAUGAAGAGGAAGCUUGACCAGAUGAAGGAAACUGAUGGUCAGGUUUUUACUUGAUCAUCAGAGAUUUGUGGGUUUGUUCCAAAGACAUUUAUUGCCUUCGUCUUCUGAGGCUGUACCGCGUAAUGAAGCUCCAAAUGAUCAACCUCUGAUGCCUCCUCCUUCUAGGGUUCUGUCCAGUACUGAGGCUCCAAAUGAUCCCCCUCCGGUGCCUUCUCUUUCUGGGGCUCUACCGACUGCUGAGACUUCUCCUAAGCAACCUUUGUGAAGGCUCCCUCUUGUGUGUUUAUUUUGACUCAUGUAUAUGUACAUAUUUGUAGCUUAUCGGGGAUAUCAAUAAAUAAGUUUUCCUUCAUUUCAACGUAUUGUGUUAAAUACACCAAAGCCUUCUUCGCUAAGUUCUUUGAAUUUUCUUUUGUUGAAACUUGUAUGUUGAAGCUAAACCCCCAUCAGAGGGUAUAAAAAAAAAAAAAAAAAAAAGAAGAAAAAAACGGCAAAGCCCAAAAUAAAUGGGCUGGAAUGUUGUGUGGAGAGCGAAGGCCCAUAAGCCCAAAAUAGCACUAACCAGGUCAUCAAAAGUACGCCCAGUACUUCACAAUUAUUCGGCAACCCGCCGCUAUUAUCACCAACCAGGUGACCAAAAGUACGCCCAGUACUCCAAAAUUAUUCGGCAACUCGCCGCUAUUACCACCAACCAUGUGAUGAGAUGUACAACCCGUACUCUAAUUUGGCAACUAGCCAUUCAUGCCACCAACUAGGUGAUGAAAUGUACAACCCGUACUCUCCUUCAUGCCACCAACCAGGUGAUCAAAAGUACGCCUAGUACUUUAAAUUAUACAUGAGCAUUACUCAUGUCAUACAUAAACAUUCAUGAGCAUCACUCAUAACAAUCAUACUUAAACAUUCAUGACCAUCAUUCAUGUCAACAUUCAUGAGCAUCACUCAUGUUAACUUUCAUGUCUAUCAACAUAAACAUUCAUGAGCAUCACUCAUGUCAAUCAGCUUCAAAAGCUCCAUUUACAAAAGCUCUAGCUUCAAAAGCUUCAUUUACAGAGCUCCAGCUUCAAAGCUUCACUUGCAAAGCUUCACUUACAAAGCUUCAGUGCAGGGUAUAUAAAUACCGCCUCCGAACAACCGCCACUUCGGCCAUACAUGGAUUCAAUUUGAAGUCUCCAGCCAACAGACUCUAUUGACCGAAGACUUGGGGACUACAUUAUGUACCAUAUAUUGGGCCUCAACUGGGCCUCAUGAAAAAUACUUGGGGGGCUUAGCCCAUUAUUUAUGUAUUAAGGAGCGAGCCCUUAUUCUAUAAAAGGGACUCCCUCACUUUCAUUAGAGAGCACCCAUUAUUCAUGUAUUGAGGAGCGAUCCCUUAUUCUAUAAAAAGGACUCCCUCACCACCAUUAGAGAGCAACGCCGCCAGCUGAGCAACCGCCUCGCCGCGAGCAUCACUCCUAACCCAUCACUUAUGUAUUGAAGAGCGAGCCCUUAUUCUAUAAAAGGGACUCCCUCACCAUCAUUAGAGAGCAUCGCCGCCUACUGAGCAACCGUCUCGCCGCGAACAUCAACUCUAGCCUAUCAUUCAUGUAUUGAGGAGCAAGCCCUUAUUUUAUAAAAGGAACUCCCUCACCGUCAAACGCCACAAGCCGAACCAACCAAGGCAACAUAAGCCACGAGCCUCGCAGCCUCGCAGCGUGUGCUACUUCUAGUUGAGCAUCAUUUCAGAUUGAGCACCGUCUCAUCUCGAGCAUCAGUUCAAGACAACAUUUAGUUACUUCGGCCCACACAUGGACUGAAUUUCAAGUCUCCAGCCAAAAGACUCUCUUGACUGAAGACUUGGGGGACUACUGUUUAUACCAUAUUUAGGGCCUCGUAUUUAGACCUCGUAUAAAUACUCGGGGGACUUCAAUGUAAUUAUGUAAUAAAGGAAAGGGCAAAUAUGUAAUAAGUGAGGAGUCCUUAUACUAUAAAAGGACCCCUCACCCUCACAAUUAGGGGAGGCCAAUUCCUAAGGCUCCUCACCCCCUCUCAACGCUCUCACUCUUAGAGCUCUCUCCCCCUCAGAUAAAUACAUAAUCAGUGUGGACGUAGCCCAAACCUUGGGGUGAACCACGAUAUAUUUUGUGUUAUUUACAUUACUUGCAGAUUCACGGUCAGGUUUACGUUGUUCCAGACCUCCGGUUUUGUGCAUCAACAAUACUAGUUUUUGACAUCAAGUAAAUAUAUCUCCAUAUUCGUUUCUUCUUACGUUGAAAAAGCGUGAGAAGAACAGAAUAAUCAAGUAAUCAACUUAUCAUCUGUUCUACUUGAAUCUUUGGUCAACUGUUGAUUUUCAUUACAUUGCAUCAACAAUUGUAGUUUCAUUAAAGAUAUCACUUAAUUAUUUAACUUUGCCAAUGUAGUGGCGUUUAUGCAUUGUGGAUUGCCACUUAUGCCUGGGAUUUUUAGUUAGGGGACCUUGAGGUUUUUGCCUUUAGGGGCAUUCAGUAAACUCCUAAAAGUGGGCCAUGAUACUUAUAUUAACAUGAGAGG
rnacentral:lncRNA from 1 species